AUGCAAGUCGAGCGGGCGAGGUUGCUUCGGUAACUGAGCUAGCGGCGGACGGGUGAGUAAUGCUUAGGAAUCUGCCUAUUAGUGGGGGACAACAUUCCGAAAGGGAUGCUAAUACCGCAUACGCCCUACGGGGGAAAGCAGGGGAUCACUUGUGACCUUGCGCUAAUAGAUGAGCCUAAGUCGGAUUAGCUAGUUGGUGGGGUAAAGGCCUACCAAGGCGACGAUCUGUAGCGGGUCUGAGAGGAUGAUCCGCCACACUGGGACUGAGACACGGCCCAGACUCCUACGGGAGGCAGCAGUGGGGAAUAUUGGACAAUGGGGGGAACCCUGAUCCAGCCAUGCCGCGUGUGUGAAGAAGGCCUUUUGGUUGUAAAGCACUUUAAGCGAGGAGGAGGCGCUCUAGGUUAAUACCCUAGAUGCGUGGACGUUACUCGCAGAAUAAGCACCGGCUAACUCUGUGCCAGCAGCCGCGGUAAUACAGAGGGUGCGAGCGUUAAUCGGAUUUACUGGGCGUAAAGCGCGCGUAGGUGGCUAAUUAAGUCAAAUGUGAAAUCCCCGAGCUUAACUUGGGAAUUGCAUUCGAUACUGGUUAGCUAGAGUAUGGGAGAGGAUGGUAGAAUUCCAGGUGUAGCGGUGAAAUGCGUAGAGAUCUGGAGGAAUACCGAUGGCGAAGGCAGCCAUCUGGCCUAAUACUGACACUGAGGUGCGAAAGCAUGGGGAGCAAACAGGAUUAGAUACCCUGGUAGUCCAUGCCGUAAACGAUGUCUACUAGCCGUUGGGGGCUUUGAUCCUUUAGUGGCGCAGCUAACGCGAUAAGUAGACCGCCUGGGGAGUACGGUCGCAAGACUAAAACUCAAAUGAAUUGACGGGGGCCCGCACAAGCGGUGGAGCAUGUGGUUUAAUUCGAUGCAACGCG
rnacentral:rRNA from 1 species